rnacentral:rRNA from 1 species
UACGUAGGGGGCGAGCGUUGUCCGGAGUUAUUGGGCGUAAAGCGCGCGAAGGCGGUCUAGCCAGUCUGGGGUGACAGUUCCCGGCUCACCUGGGAAAGGUCUUCGGAAACUGCUAGACUUGAGGGACUCAGAGGGAGACGGAAUUCCAGGUGGAGCGGUGAAAUGCGUAGAGAUCUGGAGGAACACCAAAGGCGAAGGCAGUCUCCUGGGAGUUACCUGACGCUCAGGCGCGAAAGCCAGGGGAGCGAACGGG